CCCUGACCGAGCAACGCCGCGUGCAGGAAGAAGGUUUUCGGAUCGUAAACUGCUUUUCUCGGGAAGGGAACGGACGGUACCCGAGGAAGAAGCCCCGGCUAACUACGUGC
rnacentral:rRNA from 1 species